UCACAAAUUGUGAUUGUGCUACGGAAAUUGUGAACAAUGCUGCUUCCAAUGAAGAAACUACAUCUGAAAGAAAUAACAUUAUAUCUGCUACUGAAUCUGGAUCUGAAACUGGAGUAACUGGAUCUGAAGAUUUAAAUGACGUUUUACCUCAUG